rnacentral:rRNA from 1 species
UACGUAGGUGGCAAGCGUUGUCCGGAAUUAUUGGGCGUAAAGCGCGCGCAGGCGGUCUUUUAAGUCUGAUGUGAAAGCCCCCGGCUCAACCGGGGAGGGUCAUUGGAAACUGGGAGACUUGAGUGCAGAAGAGAAGAGUGGAAUUCCACGUGUAGCGGUGAAAUGCGUAGAGAUGUGGAGGAACACCAGUGGCGAAGGCGACUCUUUGGUCUGUAACUGACGCUGAGGCGCGAAAGCUAGGGGAGCAAACAGG